rnacentral:tRNA from 1 species
GUGGGGAUAGCUCAGUGGUAGAGCACGUGCUUAGCAUGCACAAGAUCCUGGGUUCAAUCCCCAGUACCUCCA